rnacentral:rRNA from 1 species
GACGAACGCUGGCGGCGUGCUUAACACAUGCAAGUCGAACGGAAAGGCCCUGCUUUUGUGGGGUGCUCGAGUGGCGAACGGGUGAGUAACACGUGAGUAACCUGCCCUUGACUUUGGGAUAACUUCAGGAAACUGGGGCUAAUACCGGAUUGGAGCUCCUGCUGCAUGGUGGGGGGGGGUAAGUUUCGGAGGUUGGGGAUGGACGCGCGGCUGAUCCACUUGUUGGUGGGGGAGUGGCUUACCAAGGCUUUGACGGGUAGUCAGCCUGAGAGGGUGACUGGCAACCUUGCGUCUGAGAUAAGGCCCAGACUCCUACGGGCGGCAGCAGUGGGGAUUAUUGCACAAUGGCAGGAAGCCUGAUGCAGCAACGCCGCGUGCGUGAUGCCGGCCUUCGGGUUGUCAACCGCUUGCUCCUGUGACGCAGCGUGUGUGACGGUAAUGAGUAAAGAAGCACCGGCUAACUACGUG